rnacentral:lncRNA from 1 species
UGUACUUUUUGUUUUGAUAUGUGCCGAAUGGUUCCCACUGAUUUCCUUUAAAAAGAAGGCAGAAUGCCACAGUUUAUAGAUUAGGCCUUAAUUAUACAUAGCAUUUUGUCUUCAUAUGUCUUGAUGACUUUCCACCGCCACAGCUUGUCAACAAAGGAUAAGACCAAGAGGAAAUGACUUUGUUGCUGCAACUUUUGCAAGUCUGCGAUACCACCGCUUGUCUUCCUUUACUUUCUGCCAAGAUUUGAUUAUUACAAAAUGCAGAGUUCAUUUCAUGCCACACAAUGAGCACUAGAGGAAUCUUGUAGCCUUUGAAUAUUGUCUUCUUUUCUUCUUUUGAUUGAUAAAGAGACACGUAGCUGGAAACAAACUUGCUGCACAUUUGCUUAAUGGGAUGUUUUGAAAGUUUUUGUCUUGAACAUUCCUCCACCUCCAAGUUUAACGUGGCUACUUGAG